AAUUUUGGACAAUGGGGGAAACCCUGAUCCAGCCAUCCCGUGUGUAUGAUGAAGGCCUUCGGGUUGUAAAGUACUUUUGGCUGAGAAUAAAAGGUAUCCCCUAAUACGGGAUACUACUGACGGUAUCUGCAGAUUACGCACCGUCUAACUACGCGCCAGCAGCCGCGGUAAUACGUAGGGUGCAAGCGUUAAUCGGAAUUACUUGGCAUAACGCGUGUGUAGGCGGUUGGGAAAGAAAGAUGUGAAAUCCCAGGGCUCAACCUUGGAACUGCAUUUUUAACUGACGAGCUAGAGUAUGUCAGAGGGGGGUAGAAAUCCAAGUGUAGCAGUGAAAUGCGUAGAUAUGUGGAGGAAUACCGAUGGCGAAGGCAGCCCCCUGGGAUAAUACUGACGCUCAGACACGAAAGCGUGGGGAGCAAACAGG
rnacentral:rRNA from 1 species